AUUUCCUGGUUUCUGUGAGUUCUGAUAACCCUUAUGUUUGCAUUUUGGGUGGUUUCCCAUCCCCUUAGGUUUGUGUCUUUUUUUAAAAAAAAACUGACUUCUGCUUUUCAUGUCAUUUUUGAGCUGACUUUCACUGAGAGAGGCUCUUGGCCACACUGCUCGUUGUUUUUUUUCCCUAAUCAUGGCUGAACAUCAACUCCUUUUCCCCCCCGCCUUUGAAGAUUUUGGACCUGAAUACUCGCUAUCAGCUUGCACACCUCUCUGUGGAUUUGGCCCUCCUGGUUGAGGUUCUCUGUACUCCCUCUGACCUUUCUGGGUUUCCACCACCCUUGAGAUACAGGAUCAGUCCAGCUAAGGUGUAUGCGGAUGCUUCCACUCAAACUGAUCCCUGCCUGGUUAUCUUACCUGACAAUUCACCUGACCAUCAUGCUGAUGAUGACAUGACCUAUUCUGAUCCUGACUCUGUUCCCUUUUCCCCCAGUAGCCCUGGCUACACUCCUCCUUACCUGUCAGCACGUUCUGGUUCUUCCCCUGGUCACACGCCUUAUUAGCCCUUUUCACCUCUCAACUACUCUCCCACCAGUCCUGUUUGCUCUCAAUAAAAUCAAUUAUUUUUUCGUA
ensembl:lncRNA